UCAAAGGCAAUGACGAAGAGCGCUGUUUUGCUAAGAAACUAAUAAGAGAGUCCGACAUUUGGUGAAAGCGGAUAGUGGAAACAAAAUCAGUAAAUCACUUCUGAGCUUGUGUGCUGAAAUAUAGUAAGUAUACACUUAAUAAAUCACGUUACAGGUUUCGGACUUGUUGGAGUCGAGUAGAGUGGCAUAGUUUUCUAUGCAAAUUGAGUGGUACCGCGGAUAUCAGAUUCGUCUCAUGU
rnacentral:ncRNA from 1 species